rnacentral:rRNA from 1 species
GACGAACGCUGGCGGCGUGCUUAACACAUGCAAGUCGAACGCUGAAGCUUGGUGCUUGCACUGGGUGGAUGAGUGGCGAACGGGUGAGUAAUACGUGAGUAACCUGCCCUUGACUCUGGGAUAAGCCUGGGAAACUGGGUCUAAUACUGGAUACGACAUGCCACUGCAUGGUGGUGUGUGGAAAGGGUUUUACUGGUUUUGGAUGGGCUCAUGGCCUAUCAGCUUGUUGGUGGGGUAAUGGCCUACCAAGGCGACGACGGGUAGCCGGCCUGAGAGGGUGACCGGCCACACUGGGACUGAGACACGCCCCAGACUCCUACGGGAGGCAGCAGUGGGGAAUAUUGCACAAUGGGCGGAAGCCUGAUGCAGCGACGCCGCGUGAGGGAUGACGGCCUUCGGGUUGUAAACCUCUUUCAGCACGGAAGAAGCGAGAGUGACGGUACGUGCAGAAGAAGCGCCGGCUAACUACGUG